UAAUUGGUAAAUCUCUUUGGGCCAUUUUGGCUUUAGGUUUUGGCGCAUCAUUAUUGAUUGAUAGGCUUAUGUUGUUUGCUGGAAUCAUAUACCCUCGCUGCUUUUGUAUGGUUCUCAUAUCAUUUAUAGUCGGCUUGUUUGUCAUUUGUCUUGGAAUAGGCAUACUGAUUUGGUUCAUAUUGAUAGAAGCUAAUCCCGUUCAUUUAGCUUUGGGAUCUGGUUUUAUCUUGAUGGAGCUCUAUUUGGCCUGGAUCAAAAUUUCGUAUUGGAAGGCCUAAAUCCCAAACUGGAGAGAAGUAAAAUAGUUUUAUUAUUGCAUAAUAAGUUUGAAUUUCAUACUUAUAAUGGGAAUAACAAAAUUAUUAUACAUUCAAAGACUUAUGAUUUUGGUUCAGCAACAGCAUUGGAAUCAGUGUUUCUCAGCAGUUUGGAAAGCAUGCAUACAAUCAGCAAAAUAUAUAAAAAUUGUAAAUAAUU